rnacentral:rRNA from 1 species
GAUGAACGCUGGCGGCGUGCCUAAUACAUGCAAGUCGAGCGAACAGACGAGGAGCUUGCUCCUCUGACGUUAGCGGCGGACGGGUGAGUAACACGUGGAUAACCUACCUAUAAGACUGGGAUAACUUCGGGAAACCGGAGCUAAUACCGGAUCACAUGUUGAACCGCAUGGUUCAACAGUGAAAGACGUUCUUGCUGUCACUUAUAGAUGGAUCCGCGCCGCAUUAGCUAGUUGGUAAGGUAACGGCUUACCAAGGCAACGAUGCGUAGCCGACCUGAGAGGAUGAUCGGCCACACUGGAACUGAGACACGGUCCAGACUCCUACGGGAGGCAGCAGUAGGGAAUCUUCGGCAAUGGGCGAAAGCCUGACGGAGCCACGCCGCGUGAGUGAAGAAGGUCUUCGGAUCGUAAAACUCUGUUAUUAGGGAAGAACAAAUGUGUAAGUAACUCUGCACGUCUUGACGGUACCUACUCAGAAAGCCACGGCUAACUACGUG